rnacentral:lncRNA from 1 species
GCAUUUUGUCACGUGGUGGGAAGCUGGCUGACUCAGGUCCUCUUCCCAUUGGAAGCCCUGGAGUCUGCCUGGGUUCGCCAGCCCCCAGCCUGAGGAGAGUGGAGCCUGGCUGUGAUGAAUCUAGCACAGACCCCCGGGCGGAGGCCAGCAUGCAGCAAGGUCGGGUCAGCACACGGAGUGCAGGAGCAGGUGGAGUCCUGGCCGUGCCUUGCAGAGCCUGGAGAGCCAAGAGUCAGCGCUGAAAUGCAGCCUGCAAGUGCCAGGAUCCCUGCCCUGGGGGAGGGAGGCAGUGGGCAGGAAAGGACUCUGGGCCCCACGACGGCGUGGACACAGCAGACACUGGCCACA